UACAGAGGUCUCAAGCGUUGUUCGGAUUCAUUGGGCGUAAAGGGUGUGUAGGUGGCGCGCUAAGUCGGGUGUGAAAUUUCGGAGCUUAACUCCGAAACUGCAUUCGAUACUGGCGUGCUUGAGGACUGGAGAGGAGACUGGAAUUCAUGGUGUAGCAGUGAAAUGCGUAGAUAUUGGGAGGAACACCAGUGGCGAAGGCGGCUCACUGGACCGGUACUGACGAUCAGGUGCGAAAGCGUGGGGAGCAAACAGG
rnacentral:rRNA from 1 species